GUAUUGUCGUUGAAACACAGGUUCUCUUGCGAUCACCGAAUUUAAGCAACGUCGAGCCUGGUCAGUACAUAGAUGGGUGACGGCUUAGGAAUACCAGGGGACGUAA